rnacentral:tRNA from 1 species
GGAGAGGUGUCAGAGUGGUCUAACGUGCUCGCUUGGAAAGCGGGUGUAGGGCAACCUACCGCGGGUUCGAAUCCCGCCCUCUCCG